CCUACGGGAGGCAGCAGUAAGGAAUAUUGGACAAUGCUCGCAAGAGUGAUCCAGCCAUGCCGCGUGCAGGAAGAAUGCCCUAUGGGUAGUAAACUGCUUUUGAACUAGAGAAAACCCCAGUACGUGUACUGGGCUGAUAGUAUAGUUAGAAUAAGCAUCGGCUAACUUCGUGCCAGCAGCCGCGGUAAGACGAAGGAUGCAAGCGUUAUCCGGAUUCAUUGGGUUUAAAGGGAGCGUAGGUGGACUGAUAAGUCAGUGGUGAAAUCUCCGAGCUUAACUCGGAAAUUGCCAUUGAUACUGUUGGUCUUGAGUACAGUUGCUGUGGGCGGAAUAUGACAUGUAGUGGUGAAAUACAUAGAGAUGUCAUAGAACACCGAUUGCGAAGGCAGCUCACAAAGCUGUAACUGACACUGAGGCUCGAAAGUGCGGGGAUCAAACAGGAUUAGAUACCCUGGUAGUCCGCACCGUAAACGAUGAUUACUCGCUGCUAGGGGGCAACCUUUAGUGGCUUAGCGAAAGCGAUAAGUAAUCCACCUGGGGAGUACGCCGGCAACGGUGAAACUCAAGGAUUGAGNGNGNGNGNGCGAGACGCACGAGGGAGGAG
rnacentral:rRNA from 1 species